UCUCAGCUCGUGCCUGAUAGGGGGGUUUCUUUCAGAGGGGCUGCACGGGAACCACAUGGCCCCGCGUAUACAAUGCAAUGCGGGCCGGGGGCUUGGCAUGGCUGGAAACAGAAACAGAUCUUCUAGGAAUCAGUGCCAGGAGAUCAACAUGCAAAGCGGGACCUGGGAGAAGGUAGGGUGGCCUUCCGGACUCCAGGAAUGUGCCAUGCAAACCAAGAUCCUCAUCAGAGAGCGGCUCUUCUAGAACGAAGCACCCUGAAAGACACGGAAGCAAAAUCCCUGGGUGAAAUCCACACCCCGCUUAAACAGCUGUUGGCAAACAACAGUCAGGCUAGCCAUCCCAUCAGCCGCAAACCUGCAGCUCGAGUGCUAGCAACAGACAGCCCUGGUGACCAAGGCAGCAGCUGCAGCCAGCAGCUUCCCAUCCACGGGGAGUGGAGGGCACUGGGGCAUUGCCUACAGGUGAACAAAAUCCUCAUGUUGCUAUUUUUCUUUGUGAACCAUAUCCUUUUCUUUUUGCAUAUUUAGCUUGUCCUUUACCUUCAUUAACACUGGCAGUGUAUGUGGCCAAGGGUCAUUGGGGCACAGGUGUGUGUUCCACUCUCCUGAACUGAUGGACUUUGUCUCCAUCUGGUUGUAUUUUCAUAACCUUUAGAGUCCAGGGGCAUCGAUGUAGGUGUUUCCCAAUCCUUCAUUUCAUUGGCAACCUGGAAAAUGCCAGCGUUUGACUAAACAACAUCUCAGCACAAUGCCUCAGCAGAUACGCUUUGCUAAACACCCGGGUCUGAACCCUGAGCUCAGCUAUGCUGGUGAUAAUCCAGAGUGACUCUGCGGAGCCAUUGGAGUCACUCUGGAUUUACAGCCAUGUAACUGAGAUCAGAAUCCAGCCCCAGAGUAUGAUCUGUCAAUCACCAGACUAAUCAGCCCUCCUGUCCAAAGGAAACCACAGGUUCCCCUCUCCCUGAUACGAGAUGGCAGGACGCACAAACCAUUAAAAUCCUCAGGAGCUUUAAGUCAUCUCACCACUCCCCUGGUCCCCAGGGGAGCCAGUCUGGCCCCUCAGGUAACAGAGCAGACUGAAGGUUGCUCUAAGUUACACCGGCAUGCGAUGAUAAUCUAAGGGCCGUGACGCUGGCCAGAGGUCACCAGAAUGUGGCAUGUUCAGGCCACACCUCCUGGGCAGGGGAGACCAAAAAGGGGCAUCAGAGGGCAGGCAAAGCUAUAUCUAUGCCACGACCUGAGGGUUUUCCCAUGCCAGGGAGCCCUCUAGAAUGGCCCGGGAUCUGUCCCGCAAUUGUUUUCUAGUCACACAGAGGCAGGGCCGAAGGGUACUUUGAGUUUAGCUUGUUCGUGUUUCCUCCCACCUCCGAGGGUCAUUCUUGAUUUAUGAACUCCAGUCUUUAAAGCUAGAUUCCAAGUAAAGAGAAGUUUCCCUCAUCCCCUCUCCGUCCCCCCCCCACCCCGCUGUUAAUCAUAGGUCAGCUGUGUUUAAUGAUUCACGUGCCUACAGUGCAUUACCAAAUAGCCAGGGAGCCCUCACAGGGUCCCUCUAAGAGGCAAAGAGAUGCAGACAGAGGUACAUCACAAAAGAAGUGGGAGCAGGAAGAG